GGCCGGAUGGUGUAGUUGGUUAUCACGGUUCGCUUCCUACGCUUUCAUGAUUAAGACUUUUCUAAUCUGCGGCAAGUGUCCUUAACAGUUUCUCGCUAAGAACGGACAAGGUCCUGAGUUCGAGCCUCAGUCUGGUCA